GGGGGUUUUUUUUUUUUUUUUUUUUUUGUGAUACUUUCAAAAUUUAGGGACAGGCACUGUGUGGGCAAAGAUGCUGUCAUUUCACUGAAGCAGCCUGGCUCUGGUCCUCUGCAGCUCCAAUAAAUACAAGAGAAUAGCAGAGAUGUACCUGCAGGUCUGAAAUUUCUGCACUGAACUCUGCAUUUGGAGAGGAGAUGCAACAUGUGCUGGCAGAGCAGCAACAUUUUUUCUCUGUGCAAGACAAGGAUAUGUCAUGUCAAGAUCAAUAAGCAGGAGAAUUGCCAUCUCCACCUCUGCAGCUGUGUUGAAACCGAGUGUGAAAUGACAGUGAGACGGAUUUGACAGGUUAAAAAAAAGAAUACAAACCAGAGAUCUCGGAAGGAUAAGUCAAUCAUGAUAAUAUUUAUUUCAUUUCUUGGUCUUACCUCUUU
rnacentral:lncRNA from 12 species